GUGAUGGAGAAAUGGAGGAGGACCAAGAAUUAGGAGAAAGCUAAGGAGGUGGGGUGGGGUGGAGGCAUCAAACUCGGACACGAUCCUGUUAAAACGUCAAACGGACAUUUCUCUCCCCCCCUCCGGCAAUCUAUUAAGAUUGGACAGACGCGCCUGGUUUCUCAAGCCAAAACGGUGCGCAGGCGCAGGUCGCUUCCUCAGUUAAAAUGCUUUUGGACGUAGAAAGGGGAUCACCCUCCUGUCUUCCCCUGUCUCGAUAUUUCCCUCACUUACUCUUUUUCUCUCCCUUGCUCUGCCUCUGUCAUUUUUGGAAUCCUCUUAAUUUAACUCUCUCUCUAUAAUUAUUAUUAGGAAGAUUUUUUUUUUAAAUUUGCUUUUAAAUUUGGUGGGAGGGUUGAGCUCUUAUUGCUUCGACUAAUUCCCUAGGAACCAGCAUGCUUGUGUCUCCCUCCUACCACCGUAUCUUCCAAAUUGCCGCCUCUGAUCAAACCAGCCUGUGGAUCGAGUCUUUUGCCAAUCCUCGUCUUUUGUCUCUCAGUCGUUCCUCUUUUUUGCUGGCUUUUCUGUCUUCGGACAAAGCCAUUCGGGGAUUGUAGCCCCUGCAAGCUGCAGCCUAGGAAAGCCGAGUGUGGGGGGCGAGAAGCUAUUAGCUAUGUAGUGCGAGCAGGGAACACCGCGCGUUGAAUUAGAAGCAGCAGCAGCGGCAGCCCGGAGCCUAGUGAGAGUGACUUUGCGCCUCCGAAAGUCGCUCUGAGGCCAUCGGAAAACAGGACCUCUCCGGCGGUUGCUGUUGCGUGUGGCGGCGGCUCAGCGGGUGGGCUGCCUCCGGGGACUGCUGCUCUCUUUUCGGUCGGCUUUCAGUGUCUAGAACCGCUUCUGCUCGCCACCCCCAUUACCGCUUUCCCGCGUUCUCAAAAAAGCAGCAGCCGCCGCCCCCCUCCCGCCCCUCUUCCCCCGGUUUCUUUCCAGAGCUGAGCGACGGGAGCGACAGUGGCCGAAGCAGCGGAGGAGCUUUCCCUCUGCGGGGUUUAUGAAUGGCCCUGACAUGGAAGAAAUGCCGCUUCAGAAAGUCAAGAAGAGCAAAAAGACGAGGAAGAAGAAAUGUUGCCGCCUCCGCCGCUGCUGCUGCUGUUGCUGCUGCUCCUCCACACCCGGCCCGCCGUUGGCGGCGCAGCCGCCGCCGCCACCACCUCCGUCGGCUGCAGGCAGUAGUAGCAGCACCUCCGGAGCUGUGGCCGCGGCAGUGAGAACUGUCGGAGAGGGUCCCCCGGUACCCUUCCUGGACGGCGUCGCCUGUGAGGACCAGUUCGACUGCAAGGAACUCGAGUCGCUCUUCCAGAAUUACAAUCUGAAGCUGGAACAGACGUCCACACUCAAAGCGCUGGCCGUGCUGAUCGCGCUAACGGCCAGCUUGGCGCUGUUGGAGCUGCUUUCGGGCCCCAGCCUGACUAUUUCCAAGGGCUCCCAUCCGGUACACUGUAUCAUCUUCCUCUCCCUCUUCAUUGUCACCAAUGUUAAGUACCUGCAAGUCACACAGCUGCAGCAGAUAGUGAAGCUCACCUUGCUUUUCAGCUUUACCUUCGCUUUCCUCUGCUGCCCUUUCUCGGUAGGCGCCUAUGGCAUGGAGCCACCCAGCGCCCCCGAGCAGGGUAUGUGGCAGCUCAUGCUGGUCAUCUUCGUCUCCUACUCCCUUUUGCCCGUCCGCACUCUCCUGGCCAUUGUCUUCGGUUUGAUAGUGUCCGUCUCCCAUCUCAUAGUCACUGCCACUUCAGUCAGUGCCAAGAGGCAGCCCCUCUGGAAGACGCUUAUGGCCAAUGCUAUCCUUUUUGUCAGUGUAAACUUGUAUGGGGUCUUUGUAAGGAUAUUAACAGAGAGGGCGCAGAGAAAGGCCUUCCUUCAGGCCAGGAACUGCAUAGAGGACAGACUGAAGCUGGAGGAUGAAAAUGAAAAACAGGAACGACUCCUGAUGAGCCUUUUGCCCAGAAAUGUUGCCAUGGAAAUGAAGGAAGAUUUCCUUAAGCCACCUGAAAGAAUUUUCCAUAAGAUUUACAUUCAGAGGCAUGACAAUGUUAGUAUAUUAUUUGCAGACAUUGUGGGGUUUACCAGUCUGGCAUCUCAGUGCACUGCUCAAGAACUAGUGAAGCUUCUGAAUGAACUUUUUGGAAAGUUUGACGAAUUAGCCACAGAAAACCAUUGCAGAAGGAUAAAGAUCCUUGGUGACUGUUACUAUUGUGUAUCAGGAUUGACCCAGCCCAAAACUGAUCAUGCUCAUUGCUGUGUUGAAAUGGGAUUGGAUAUGAUUGACACUAUCACAUCAGUAGCUGAAGCCACUGAAGUAGAUCUCAAUAUGAGAGUUGGUUUGCACACUGGAAGGGUUCUUUGUGGCGUUCUGGGUCUUCGAAAAUGGCAGUAUGAUGUUUGGUCAAAUGAUGUGACUCUUGCUAAUGUAAUGGAAGCUGGAGGGUUGCCUGGGAAAGUGCAUGUAACAAAGACUACAUUAGAGUGCCUAAAUGGUGACUAUGAGGUGGAACCCGGAUAUGGCUAUGAAAGGAACAGUUUCUUAAAGAAGCAUAAUAUUGAAACCUUUUUCAUUGUGCCAUCUCAUCGGAGAAAGAUAUUUCCAGGGCUUAUUCUCUCUGACAUAAAGCCUGCCAAAAGAAUGAAGUUCAAGACUGUUUGUUACCUCUUAGUUCAGCUGAUGCAUUGUCGGAAAAUGUUUAAAGCUGAAAUUCCCUUCUCCAACGUGAUGACUUGUGAAGAUGAUGACAAGAGAAGGGCAUUAAGGACAGCCUCUGAAAAACUCAGGAAUCGUUCCUCUUUUUCUACAAAUGUUGUAUAUAACACUCCUGGAACCCGAGUUAACCGGUAUAUCAGCCGCUUAAUAGAGGCUCGGCAAACUGAAUCAGAAAUGGCAGAUCUAAACUUUUUUACUCUAAGGUAUAAGCAGAUAGAACGUGAGCAAAAGUAUCACCAACUUCAGGAUGAAUAUUUCACCAGUGCUGUAGUAUUGUCACUGAUUCUAGCUGCCUUAUUUGGCCUUGUCUACCUUUUAAUAAUACCACAGAGUACCAUAGUCCUUGUUCUCUUAGUAUUUUGCAUGUGCUUCCUGGUGGCAUGCAUCAUGUAUCUACAUGUCACUCGAGUACAAUGUUUUCCAGGGUGCCUGACAAUACAAAUUAGAACCAUUUUGUGUAUUUUUAUUGUGAUCUUAAUUUAUUCAGUGGCACAAGGCUGUGUGGUUGGUUGUAUGCCUUGGAUCUGGAACACUAAUUCCAGCAGCUCUAUAGUUAUAAUUUCUUCCAGUGGGAUAAAUAAGACAAUGACUGAACUUCCAUGCGAUACAGCUCAUUAUGCAUUUCUCUCCUGUGUUGUGGGGACUUUGACCCUGGCAAUAUUUUUACGUGUAUCUUCUUUGCCAAAAUUGAUCCUUCUACUUUUUGUUAUGAUUCUGUAUAUAGUUAUUUUGGAGCUCAGUGGAUACCGAAAGGCAGUAGGGGAUGGCUCCUUUUAUAUACGUGGCUAUGAACCAAUAUUAGCCAUCUUGCUUUUUUCCUGUGCUUUGGCACUUCAUUCAAGGCAAGUGGAUUUGAAGUUACGUUUGGACUACCUCUGGGCUGUGCAGGCAGAAGAGGAGAGAGAUGAUAUGGAGAGAGUGAAACUAGAUAAUAAAAGAAUACUUUUCAAUCUAUUGCCAGCACACGUUGCUCAGCAUUUUCUGAUGUCAAAUCCAAGGAACAUGGAUUUGUAUUACCAGUCAUAUUCACAAGUAGGAGUGAUGUUUGCAUCCAUACCAAAUUUCAAUGAUUUUUACAUUGAACUGGAUGGUAAUAAUAUGGGAGUAGAAUGUUUACGUCUGUUAAAUGAAAUUAUAGCUGAUUUUGAUGAGCUUAUGGACAAAGAAUAUUACAAAGACAUUGAAAAAAUCAAGACAAUUGGAAGCACAUAUAUGGCAGCGGUGGGCCUUGUGCCAACUACAGAUAGCAAGGCAAAGAAAUCAAUUUAUUUCCAUCUCAGUACACUGGCUGACUUUGCAAUAGAAAUGUUUGAUGUUCUUGAUGAAAUCAACUAUCAGUCCUACAAUGAUUUUGUUCUUCGGGUUGGUAUUAAUGUAGGCCCUGUAGUGGCAGGUGUUAUUGGUGCCAGAAGACCUCAAUAUGAUAUCUGGGGUAAUACUGUAAAUGUUGCUAGCAGGAUGGAUAGUACUGGAGUGCAAGGUAAAAUUCAAGUAAUAUAUUGCUCCAAAGAUGUCAGAGGAAAGUAUUUCUUUGAGGCUGCUAAAAACAGCAGUAGUGAAGCACAGCAUUCCAAAAGAAGGGUCAAUUUGCUCUAACAACAUGCUUUCACUUUCAAAGUCAUUGGCAUCUCUACCUCCCUUGCCAAAUAAAUUAAUUCAAGUAAGAUCAUUAUCUGAAGACAGUCCUGAAGGCUUGAGCUCACGGUAUCCGAAGAGGACUUAUGAAAUGAUGACUACCUACGAUAGAAAGCCAAGCAAGAGCACCCAUGUUUCCAAGUUUAUGUUCCCAAGAAGGCUUUCAACUAUAAUAGGUUCAGAGGAAUCUACAGUAACAUUUAAAGAAAUAAAUCCCUUUCCAAUGAUGUCAAGGAAAAGAUCCAGUAACUGCAGUGAUGCACAGUCCAAUGAAGGCUUGGUUGCCAUAGCAAAACAAAUAAAAAGUGGGGAAGAAACAACUGUCUUUAAAGAAUCAGUAACAAAAAGAAGGAAGAAGAGAAAUAUGAAAAAAGUGUUCGUGGAAGAAAGAGUUAGACAAUGGGAAUUACGCCUACUUGAAAACAUUGAAGAAGCAACUACUCAUGAACUAACAAUUGAGUACAUUUGAAUCUGAAUUAGAAGAAGCAGUGAAAAAAGGUUACAAGACUCGACAGUCUAAUAUUGCCAGGCUGGUCAUUCAUGACCUUGUACCCAGUAUGAACUUCGUUGUAUUGAAACUGUAGCUUUAGUGAAAAAUUAAUGAAUGUACCCUCAACAAGAUGGGGAGAAAUUAUGUGAGGUUGCUUGUAAAAUAAACUUUGCUGGCAAAAAAAAA